rnacentral:rRNA from 1 species
GACGAACGCUGGCGGCGUGCCUAAUACAUGCAAGUAGAACGCUGAAGAGAGGAGCUUGCUUCUCUGGAUGAGUUGCGAACGGGUGAGUAACGCGUAGGUAACCUGCCUGGUAGCGGGGGAUAACUAUUGGAAACGAUAGCUAAUACCGCAUAACAGUAGAUGUUGCAUGACAUUUGCUUAAAAGGUGCAAUUGCAUCACUACCAGAUGGACCUGCGUUGUAUUAGCUAGUUGGUGGGGUAACGGCUCACCAAGGCGACGAUACAUAGCCGACCUGAGAGGGUGAUCGGCCACACUGGGACUGAGACACGGCCCAGACUCCUACGGGAGGCAGCAGUAGGGAAUCUUCGGCAAUGGACGGAAGUCUGACCGAGCAACGCCGCGUGAGUGAAGAAGGUUUUCGGAUCGUAAAGCUCUGUUGUAAGAGAAGAACGAGUGUGAGAGUGGAAAGUUCACACUGUGACGGUAUCUUACCAGAAAGGGACGGCUAACUACGUGCCAGCAGCCGCGGUAAUACGUAGGUCCCGAGCGUUGUCCGGAUUUAUUGGGCGUAAAGCGAGCGCAGGCGGUUAGAUAAGUCUGAAGUUAAAGGCUGUGGCUUAACCAUAGUACGCUUUGGAAACUG